rnacentral:sRNA from 1 species
UUUAGUAAUCGAGUAGUCAAAUUAAGUGAUUAAUGUCUUGAAAGGGAAUUGGUCUAACUUGUGUUCAUGUUCAAGAACAGUUCGUAAUUGUUGAAUUCCUUGUCUCAUGUUUCCAUUGUUUAUUGUUCUCUGAAAUAUCCUAAUGCCUAAUGUCUUUAAAUCUCGAAAGUUAAAUCGUUUAAUUUAUAUGCAUUUUUAUUUACAAUCUGAUAACUCAAACAAAAACCAUCUUUCCGCUUUAGCUAAGAACGAGUCUCGGAAAUCUUUAAAGUAUCUUUGGUCCUUGUGGAUCGACCUCGAAUAUUCUACUUCGGUUAGAUAUUUCGGGUAAUCAAUCAAGUUGGCGCCGUUGCCGGGGACCAAUUACGUUACCUAAGGAUUUAGGAUUAGUUUUUAGUCUAAAGCAUUUUUAU